rnacentral:rRNA from 1 species
CUACGGGGCGCACCAGUGAGGAAUAUUGCACAAUGGGGGGAACCCUGAUGCAGCAACGCCGCGUGGAGGAUGACGCAUUUCGGUGUGUAAACUCCUUUUAUAUGUCAAGAAAAUGACGGUAGCAUAUGAAUAAGCACCGGCUAUACUCCGUGCCAGCAGCCGCGGUAAUACGGAGGGUGCAAGCGUUACUCGGAAUCACUGGGCGUAAAGGACGCGUAGGCGGGUUGGAAAGUCAGGUGUGAAAUCCUACAGCUUAACUGUAGAACUGCACUUGAAACUUCUAAUCUAGAGUAUGGGAGGGGGAGAUGGAAUUAGUGGUGUAGGGGUAAAAGCCGUAGAUAUCACUAGGAAUACCUAAAGCGAAGGCGAUCUCCUGGAACAUUACUGACGCUAAGGCGUGAAAGCGUGGGGAGCAAACAGGAUUAGAUACCCCAGUAGUC